GUUGGCAUAUUGAUAUACGGAUGCAUGUCGAAGGUCAGGAAGUGGUGAACUUGUGAACACAAGUGAAGUGAACACAAGUGAAAUGGCAGUAGCUGCAGUUCCAAAUGAUCUGUAAGGUCUCAGUUGAUUAAGAUGUCAAGCCUGAAGGACAGACAGCCACACACCUAUCUGCUGGUAUUUUACUGUGUCACAUUGUUCUGCAUCUAUGGAGCAGGUCAAGACAUUUCUCCUCCAUGUGAAGUUGGGCUGAUGGUCCGGAGAGGCACGACAUGGACAUCAGCCCCACGACAACGCGUGACAGUCAAGUGUCCCGUCAAAGACUGUGGGAAAUCAGUCAGUGUCACGUGGUGCAAACUGAGCGACACAAACAGAUGUGAAUUGAUUAAUCAUACAGAAAGCGUACAACAGAAUGACAAACGUGUCGGAAAUGAAUUGAUCUCAUUUUUGACUUUCAAACGGAUUUCCAUUCAUGACGCCGGCCUGUAUGGAUGUUCUUUAAAAGGAUACAAAUUUGAGGUGAUCAGUCACACUAUCAACAUCUCAGUGUCAGACUCCUACCUGGGGGUCAAAAAGUCAAUCGAUACUACAGACGUUUCUCCUCCAUGUGAAGUUGGGCUGAUGGUCCGGAGAGGCACGACAUGGACAGCAGCUCCACGACAACGUGUGACAGUCACGUGUCCCAUCAAAGACUGUAGGGAAUCCUUCAAUGUCACCUGGUGCAAACUGAGCGACACAGACAGAUGUGAACGGAUUCAUUAUACAGAAAAUGUACAACAGAAUGACAAACGUGUUAAAGAUGAACUGAUCUCAUUUUUGACCUUCAAACGGAUUUCCAUUCAUGACGCCGGCCUGUACGGAUGUUCUUUAAAAGGAUACAAAUUUGAGGUGAUCAGUCACACUAUCAACAUCUCAGUGUCAGACUCCUACCAGGGGGUCAAAAAAUCAAUCGAUACUACAGAUUUGGCACCAAGUGUUGCUGGUGAUGAGGAUCUGUCCCAGCUGGCCUACGUCCUCUGUCUUAGCGUAGCGCUGCUGUAUGCCCACUAACAGUGUUAACUCUCCUGAUUCUUUAAGGAUGGAAACUUUAAAAAAAUAAAAAAAUAAUCCCUGUCUGAAUUACUGUGGUAACAUUUCUAGAUCUUGCCAAGUGAAAAUGGAGCAUUUGCAAAUUAUAGCCAGUAAUGUUGCAUCUUGCUAUGACUAUUGAAACUUUGCUUGGACUCCUUGUACAAUGGGGUCAGUCAUUCCUCCCUGUUUCGUCUUCAACUUGUCCACAAUGCCAAAACCAGGCUCCUGAAAGGUACCUGGAAGAGAGACCGCUAUUCUGGCCUUCCUCCACUGGCUCCCAGUAAGGUUCAGAAUGGAUUUAAAGUUCUCCUGUUUGUUUCUAUAUCUAUAUGUUUAGAUAUAAAUUCAGCAUUGCAAUAAAAUUCUUGGUCGAU
rnacentral:lncRNA from 1 species